AGUAAACACACACGGACACGAAAGUAUAUGUUGCUGCCUUUUUCUCUUGGUGCAUGGUGGCCGAUGCCCAUCAACACCCAAUACCGUCUUUCAUGGGUUAUAGGUCCCAAUAUCGUCUAUGAUGCUAUAUGGGGGAGGUUGAGACGUAGACAACCUUAACUCUACCUAAGGUAGAGAGGCUACUUCUGGGUUCUACUUAAGGUAUAAAAGAACCUCCGACCUUGGAAGGAGUAAGGAUCGAACCAUUGACUCUCUCUCCAGAGUUAAGGGUGUUAACCACUUGAUUCAGGCCUUCCUUGUCCUCUACUAAAAACUGGAGAAAAAGAAAAGACUUUGUAGACAACGUAAGCAAAUACUUGGACUUCCAUUUUAAACUACCAAGGAAGGUAGUUGUGUCGGCGGAAUAUAGUAUUCUUCAUCGGAAUCCGAACAAACUGAAGAAACGAGCAUCACCUAAUCAGCUUUAUUGAGCAAGCAAGAACUGCUGAAAGAGGCCAGUUUGUCAAGAAGGAAGUGAGUUGUCACUGAAGUAUGUUAGUCAUAGAAGAGUUUAAAACUGUCGUAUGUGCAGACCGGUUGCAUAAAGUGUUCCUAUGUUAGGUAUUCAGAUUGGCGAACUGCCUGUGUAAAAUAUAUGCUAUUUUUGGAAGGUUUGGUUGUUUGUGUUCUGUACAUGUUCAUAAUUAUUUGUUCUGAUAUCUUUGAAAU